GAGGGUAUAGCUCAGUGGUAGAGCGCAUGCCAGGCAUGCACCAGGUUCUGAGUUCAAUCCCCAGUACCUCUA
rnacentral:tRNA from 1 species